rnacentral:rRNA from 1 species
UACGUAGGUCCCGAGCGUUGUCCGGAUUUAUUGGGCGCAAAGCGAGCGCAGGUGGUUUAUUAAGUCUGGUGUAAAAGGCAGUGGCUCAACCUUUGUAUGCAUUGGAAACUGGUAGACUUGAGUGCAGGAGAGGAGAGUGGAAUUCCAUGUGUAGCGGUGAAAUGCGUAGAUAUAUGGAGGAACACCGGUGGCGAAAGCGGCUCUCUGGCCUGUAACUGACACUGAGGCUCGAAAGCGUGGGGAGCAAACAGG